GAUCAUGGCUCAGGAUGAACGCUAGCUACAGGCUUAACACAUGCAAGUCGAGGGGAAACGACAUCGAAAGCUUGCUUUGAUGGCGUCGACCGGCGCACGGGUGAGUAACGCGUAUCCAACCUGCCCACCACUUGGGGAUAACCUUGCGAAAGUAAGACUAAUACCCAAUGAUAUCCCACGAAGGCAUCCGAAUGGGAUUAAAGAUUUAUCGGUGAUGGAUGGGGAUGCGUCUGAUUAGCUUGUUGGCGGGGUAACGGCCCACCAAGGCAACGAUCAGUAGGGGUUCUGAGAGGAAGGUCCCCCACAUUGGAACUGAGACACGGUCCAAACUCCUACGGGAGGCAGCAGUGAGGAAUAUUGGUCAAUGGGCGAGAGCCUGAACCAGCCAAGUAGCGUGCAGGAUGACGGCCCUAUGGGUUGUAAACUGCUUUUAUAAGGGAAUAAAGUGAGUCUCGUGAGACUUUUUGCAUGUACCUUAUGAAUAAGGACCGGCUAAUUCCGUG
rnacentral:rRNA from 1 species